rnacentral:lncRNA from 1 species
UCGAAGAAAAAUACAAUACAAAAAUCCAGUGAUGAAAGCAGAUUGCGCGAGAACGUUCAACUGUAUGACUUCAACUGUAAAACGGGAGAAACUCGAAGUCUCUGAGAGAAACGGAUGUGCCACUACUGAACACCGUUUACUGACUGAGCCGUCGUGUUUCAACCGAAGUCGAAUACUCCCUACCACGAUUCUUAAAUUCAAAUAAAGAAAAACGAUAUUCAAUGAAUAACGCAAAUGGAAAACACCCCUUUAAUUAUUUGAAUUAAAAUUCUUAGUAUAAAACACACACAUUGUGAUGAUCUGAUAAGAAAAGCACUAACAGUAAGUACACAAACAGUAAAAUGACGUACACAAAAUACACAGAAUUAAUUCUUGAAUCUAUUUUCGUUCCUUAAAACCAUUCAUAAAUUUAUAAUUUACGUUUUCGCUUCUUUUAUAAACCCUUAAGAUAUUUUAAAUCUUUUAUAGUGUAAUUAUGGAGUUUCACUUUCUAUUUUCUUGAUCGUAAUUUUGUCGAUUUAACGACGUUUGUCGUAGUCGCAAACGACCGGAAAUAAAUCCCACAUUAAAACAGGAACGGCGGCCAAAUCAUAAUAAUAACAAUCGUGUAUGUGUAUUUCUGUACCAAGUUGUUAAAUAUAAAAAAGAAUCCUCUUGGUUCUUGUUGCGUCGGCUGCGGGUACGUUAGGAUCGUCGCAAUAAUUGCUUAAUUAAGAUAUUAAUAAGGGAGUCAAUAAACGCGUUUAGCGGGACGCGGAGAAGAAGAAGUGGUAUUAUUUCUGGAGCAAGUGCUCCGGGCGAAACGGACGUCUUUCGCUCCUUCCACUUUAUACCAGAACCAGAAGCAGACGGACACCUGGCACCAAGCAGUCUGGUUAGUGCUAUUUUACUUUUUUACUAUGUGGCAACAGUGUCGUCGAAGCCGAGAGGCGAGAUUAGAUCCAAACGUUUGCCAGGUCGAGUUUAAAAGCUUAGCAGCCUUUUUUAUUAUUUGUUAUUGUGUUGACUGGGCUCUCUCUUUUGCCUAAAAAUACUACCUAAACAUUUUUUUGUACGAUUUCUAACUUACUUUUAUUACCUUUUUUUUAUACUUCACUCAAAAUAUUUACAUUUGCUUUCACUGCUUAAAAAUAACUGUUACAUUGUUAUACUAUUUUAUAUAUUACUUCGUAUAAGUCUUAUAUAAAAGUUGAUAAUGAGAAUUCUUUGAUAUUGGCAUACUAAGUAUCAACUCUAUCUGAAGUUAUCAAUCUUCACAACCUAGUCAAUGACACCAAUACUGAGAUUACGUGACGACGCAGAUAUAACAUGGUGGUCUAUCUCAGUUUCAAAAUUUAGUCAAUGUCUAAUAGAAAAACAAAAAAAUUAUGUCAUUUUCCAACUACAUCAUCAGAAUUAAGGCAGAUGCGUGGAUUGUAGCACUGCAGUCAUAAAUACGAAACUAGCAAAUCAAAAAAUUGCAGAUAAGAUGUAACGUUAUAAAAAGACAAUUUUUUAUCCGUUGAUUUUAGCUUUAUGGCUUUUACAAUGAUUGCUUUUACUGUAAUGGCACAUUCCCAAAGAGGUGCUUGGAAAACAAGAAUUAGGUUUGUUCCUUCCUAAGUUCAGCGUUGAGUACAAUUUUAAGCAAAAUCUUCAGGGCUUGCGUGUGGAAAAUAAAUAUGGUACACAAGAUGAACUGCCAUGAUGGAGAUUUUGAUAAAGCUACUGUAUCCCUUUUGGUUUAACAAAAUGCUCCCUACAAAUUUAUCAAAUCGUUCCAUAUCCUCACACUAUCAAGUUUCCUCAACGCAAACAUUGAGGAAAAAUCAGAAGCUCACAACAUUGCAAACAUCCAAGCAGCCCAAAGACUUCUAAGCAUGGAGUUAUUGUUAACAAUAUUAUUAAGAAGUAUUCAGAGUGGGAACAUUGAGGUUGGCCACUUAUUGGAGAUGAACAACAAACAAUAUAAGUACGAAAGCUUGAUGGCUAACACCAGCCAGGAAUUAACACCGAUUGAUUUAAAACUAGAACUAACACUA